rnacentral:rRNA from 1 species
GACGAACACUGGCGGCGUGCUUAACACAUGCAAGUCGAACGGUAAGGCCCUUCGGGGUACACGAGUGGCGAACGGGAGAGUAACACGUGGGUGAUAUGCCCUGCACUUCGGGAUAAGACUGGGAAACGGGGUCUGAUACCGGAUCGGACCACUGCCAGCAGGGGUGGUGGCGGAAAGCUUUUGCGGUGUGGGAUGGGCCCGCGGCCUAUCAGCUUGUUGGUGGGGUGAUGGCCUACCAAGGCGACGACGGGUAGCCGGCCUGAGAGGGUGACCGGCCACACUGGGACUGAGAUACGGCCCAGACUCCUACGGGAGGCAGCAGUGGGGAAUAUUGCACAAUGGGCGCAAGCCUGAUGCAGCGACGCCGCGUGAGGGAUGACGGCCUUCGGGUUGUAAACCUCUUUCAGCACCGACGAAGCGCAAGUGACGGUAGGUGCAGAAGAAGGACCGGCCAACUACGUGCCAGCAGCCGCGGUAA